GAUUAAGUUAUUAAGGGCGCACGGUGGAUGCCUUGGCACUAGAAGCCGACGAAGGACGUUACUAACGACGAUAUGCUUUGGGUAGCUGUAAGUAAGCGUUGAUCCAGAGAUUUCCGAAUGGGGGAACCCAGCACGAGUUAUGUCGUGUUAUCGACAAGUGAAUUCAUAGCUUGUCAGAAGGCAGACCCGGAGAACUGAAACAUCUUAGUACCCGGAGGAAGAGAAAGAAAAAUCGAUUCCCUGAGUAGCGGCGAGCGAAACGGGAAGAGCCCAAACCAAUAAGCUUGCUUAUUGGGGUUGUAGGACACUCUAUACGGAGUUACAAAGGAAUAUAUUAGACGAAUCAUCUGGAAAGUUGAAUCAAAGAAGGUAAUAAUCCUGUAGUUGAAAAUAUAUUCUCUCUUGAGUGGAUCCUGAGUACGACGGAGCACGUGAAAUUCCGUCGGAAUCUGGGAGGACCAUCUCCUAAGGCUAAAUACUCUCUAGUGACCGAUAGUGAACCAGUACCGUGAGGGAAAGGUGAAAAGUACCCCGGAAGGGGAGUGAAAGAGAACUUGAAACCGUGUGCUUACAAGUAGUCAGAGCCCGUUAAUGGGUGAUGGCGUGCCUUUUGUAGAAUGAACCGGCGAGUUACGAUCUGAUGCAAGGUUAAGCAGGAGAUGUGGAGCCGUAGCGAAAGCGAGUCUGAAUAGGGCGUUGAGUAUUUGGUCGUAGACCCGAAACCAGGUGAUCUACCCAUGGUCAGGUUGAAGUUCAGGUAACACUGAAUGGAGGACCGAACCGACUUACGUUGAAAAGUGAGCGGAUGAACUGUGGGUAGCGGAGAAAUUCCAAUCGAACUUGGAGAUAGCUGGUUCUCUCCGAAAUAGCUUUAGGGCUAGCCUCAAGUGAUGAUUAUUGGAGGUAGAGCACUGUUUGGACGAGGGGCCCCUCUCGGGUUACCGAAUUCAGACAAACUCCGAAUGCCAAUUAAUUUAACUUGGGAGUCAGAACAUGGGUGAUAAGGUCCGUGUUCGAAAGGGAAACAGCCCAGACCACCAGCUAAGGUCCCAAAAUAUAUGUUAAGUGGAAAAGGAUGUGGCGUUGCCCAGACAACUAGGAUGUUGGCUUAGAAGCAGCCAUCAUUUAAAGAGUGCGUAAUAGCUCACUAGUCGAGUGACACUGCGCCGAAAAUGUACCGGGGCUAAACAUAUUACCGAAGCUGUGGAUUGUCCGUAGGACAAUGGUAGGAGAGCGUUCUAAGGGCGUUGAAGCAUGAUCGCAAGGACAUGUGGAGCGCUUAGAAGUGAGAAUGCCGGUGUGAGUAGCGAAAGACGGGUGAGAAUCCCGUCCACCGAUUGACUAAGGUUUCCAGAGGAAGGCUCGUCCGCUCUGGGUUAGUCGGGUCCUAAGCUGAGGCCGACAGGCGUAGGCGAUGGAUAACAGGUUGAUAUUCCUGUACCACCUAGCAUCGUUUUAAUCGAUGGGGGGACGCAGUAGGAUAGGCGAAGCGUACGAUUGGAUUGUACGUCUAAGCAGUGAGAUUGAGUGUUAGGCAAAUCCGGCACUCUUAAGAUUGAGCUGUGAUGGGGAGAGGAAAUUGUUUCCUCGAGUCGUUGAUUUCACACUGCCGAGAAAAGCCUCUAGAUAGAUAAUAGGUGCCCGUACCGCAAACCGACACAGGUAGUCAAGAUGAGAAUUCUAAGGUGAGCGAGCGAACUCUCGUUAAGGAACUCGGCAAAAUGACCCCGUAACUUCGGGAGAAGGGGUGCUCUUUAGGGUGCAAGCCCAGAAGAGCCGCAGUGAAUAGGCCCAAGCGACUGUUUAUCAAAAACACAGGUCUCUGCUAAACCGUAAGGUGAUGUAUAGGGGCUGACGCCUGCCCGGUGCUGGAAGGUUAAGAGGAGUGGUUAGCUUCUGCGAAGCUACGAAUCGAAGCCCCAGUAAACGGCGGCCGUAACUAUAACGGUCCUAAGGUAGCGAAAUUCCUUGUCGGGUAAGUUCCGACCCGCACGAAAGGCGUAACGAUUUGGGCACUGUCUCAACGAGAGA
rnacentral:rRNA from 1 species